UCAAUCGUCAGUUCCUCUUCAGGUUUUUGAUUUCUAAACUUAACCUCUAUAAUUGUUAUUCUCUAUUCUAGUAUGCCUUUUUAGUUUGGUAUCUCUUGCUUUAUUGUUAAUCGCCAUAUGGAAAUUAGAAUAUGAUAGAUGUCAACUAGUGGAUAGCAUCGUCAGUUGUAGUUUAUAUGGAGGGUUGUGCAAUAGGUUGUUUGUCUCUCAUUUUGAACUUGGAAUUUUUGAAAGAACUUUAAACUGGGUAAUAGAUGAAGUAAAUUUUCAUACCUUUGAUUGCAUUUCAAGAACUUCUUGCAAAGAUGAAAUGAUUGAGUUUACUGGACAAUUCUCCUUCAAGUAUUUGUGAAUGUUAUAUAGUUGAUUUUGCUAGAUGAAAGUUCAAUUUUCACAAGGCAGAACGGCGUAUAUAUGUGUUGUUUUUUCCUUGUCAUGCCUGCAAAUGGUUAUACCUGAAAUAAUUAGCAUUUGAACGUGUUCAUUUUGGUUUUUUCUCAUCAUAUUGCGUUCGCUAUUGCAUCCUAGAAAAUCUGAAAAGUGCUGCUUACUGC
rnacentral:misc_RNA from 1 species